AGCAGCCGCGGUAAUUCCAGCUCCAAUAGCGUAUAUUAAAGUUGUUGCAGUUAAAAAGCUCGUAGUUGAAUUUCGGGGUCAGUAGGCUGGUCGUGCCACAGGUAUGUACUGGUCUCACUGAUUCCUCCUUCCUGAUGAACCGUAAUGCCAUUAAUUUGGUGUUGCGGGGAAUCUGGACUGUUACUUUGAAAAAAUUAGAGUGUUUAAAGCAGGCUAACGCUUGAAUACAUUAGCAUGGAAUAAUGAAAUAGGACGAUCGAUCCUAUUUUGUUGGUUUCUAGGAUUGACGUAAUGAUUAAUAGGGAUAGUUGGGGGCAUUAGUAUUCAAUUGUCAGAGGUGAAAUUCUUGGAUUUAUUGAAGACUAACUACUGCGAAAGCAUUUGCCAAGGAUGUUUUCAUUAAUCAAGAACGAAAGUUAGGGGAUCGAAGACGAUCAGAUACCGUCGUAGUCUUAACCAUAAACUAUGCCGACUAGGGAUCGGAUGAUGUUAAUUUUUUAAUGA
rnacentral:rRNA from 1 species